UUGAGCUCAUUGGUACCUCGGGCGUAAAACAUAUGGAUAUUUUACGCAUCCAUGUUAUAAAUCACAUCUUCUUCAUAAUAUGUUCCUAUGACGGAUCAAUUGUAAAGGGUUUUUACCCAAAUAUAUUUACUUUGGUAGUUAGCAUGUAGAUUCUAAGUGAGUAUAACCUAUAACUUUUUAUAACCUUAGUCAACAUUUUAAAUAUUUUGCAUCAUUUUAUCUGGUUGUACACAUUUUAGGAUUACACUGAUGAUGAUCGGUCAACCGAUCGAAAACCUGUCUUUGAUGUAGCUUUGUAUAGGGAUUUUAACAAAUAUACCUUUUAUAAAGGAUUCUAUGUUUUUGUAAUGGUAUACAGCCAACUACAGGAAAUUUUUCCUCGUGGAAUUAUAAAUAGGUGUAAUAAAAACAAAAAUAAUGUUAUCGUUUAUCGUUAGGCUUAAUAUAAUAAAAUAGGUUAUAUUUAUAUUAUGACAGCGUUUCGCGUUAAUACAACGCAUGCGUAAUCCAUGAAAUCAUCUGAACUGGGUUCUGAAAUCUUUGAAAGGCCGAAUUCCAGCGUUCAAGCAUCGUUCAAGUUUAAGCUGCCAUCGGUUGAACGUGAAUUGAGAAAGACGAUUUUGACUUUAAACUGACGUUCACUAAAAGUUCAGGUUAAACUGGAGUUGAACUCGUUAUGAGAAAUUGGCCCUAAAUCUAGAGACAAUGAGACGACUUAACGCCUUUGAAACGUGAACCUAUAGAAAAAUUAUGAGGGUUUCCUGGGUAGAUAGAAUAACGAACACUGAAGUACUGAGAAGAAUAGGUAAAGAGAAAGAAGUUGAACUACAAUUUGUAACGUUUCAAUCAGCCGAUUGAACGCUACACCAAGCUCCGCUUGGUAUUUGUCCCUCGGACUAUAUAUUUCUAGAAGCGACCCUACUAUCGUCAAGUCAAUUAGUACAUCCCUUCGAAGGUAUUUAAUCCAAUACAAAUUGGUACUUGCUCUUUUGCCAUUGACACGUAAAUCAGGCACAAUAUUGGCAUACAUUAUCGUGUUUGUGUGUAGGCCGUUAAACAAUGGCCCCUACCUCGGGAAGAAGACUUUAAUCAAGCACUACCUGGAAAAGAAAACACACUACCUUGAAGAGCGGAACGGGCUUACAACCGUAUCCUGAUGCAUCAGUAGAAUUAAUUAGACAAGACAGCCCUACAGAGACAAGACAGCCCAACAAGGUAGCCAUAGACUUCCCCUAACUGCCGGCGACGACAAAUUCUGCAGGGAUUGGGGACCUCCUUUAGGAACUGUGACGGAAAGACUUAAAGCUGAGUAAAUUUUUAUCUUUAUAACUUUUGUACCGAUUACCAGCAGGGUCUCGGUCACGGGCUCAGAAAAUUAACUUGGUUGUCUGUAUACAAUAAAAUGAUUUUUGUUAAGUUUUUUUUAUAUCUAAAUAAAUAGUGCAUUUAAAAUGA